UACGUAGGCACCAAGCGUUGUUCGGAAUUACUGGGCGUAAAGCGAGUGUAGGCGGUUUGCCAAGUCGGCUGUGAAAUCUCCUGGCUUAACUGGGAGGGUGCGGCUGAAACUGGCAGGCUGGAGUGCGGGAUAGGAGAGUGGAAUUCCUGGUGUAGCGGUGAAAUGCGUAGAUAUCAGGAGGAACACCUGUGGUGAAGACGGCUCUCUGGACCGCUACUGACGCUGAGACUCGAAAGCGUGGGGAGCAAACAGG
rnacentral:rRNA from 1 species